rnacentral:sRNA from 1 species
GGAUCUACAGAGGAGAAAGGAGGAAGUGACAAGGCUGUGGGAAGAACAAAGGAAGUGACGGAUCUUCUCUGGGGAGAGAGCAUGGCGAGCACCAGAACACAUUCAGGAAGGAGAAACCGCCCUGGGAGUCAGUGUUCCGGAGCCCGCACACCUAAAACAGGAGCUAAUAGGCCUGGAGAACGCAGGCUGUGAAUCUCUAAUUCGUGCUACUGAAAGAUCUGGGGUCACCUCUGGGGCUGAAGCACCUUAGCACUGGCCACAGGAAAUGAAUGACUCUCCCUCUCUCCACAGCCAUCUACUGUCAUCAAA